rnacentral:rRNA from 4 species
UUGACCUCAAAUCAGGUAGGAUUACCCGCUGAACUUAAGCAUAUCAAUAAGCGGAGGAA